rnacentral:rRNA from 1 species
UACAGAGGUCUCAAGCGUUGUUCGGAUUUAUUGGGCGUAAAGAGCGUGUAGGCGGCUUUACAGGUCCGUUGUGAAAACUCGAGGCUCAACCUCGAGACGCCGGUGGAAACCGUAAAGCUAGAGUCCGGAAGAGGAGAGUGGAAUUCCUGGUGUAGCGGUGAAAUGCGCAGAUAUCAGGAAGAACACCCGUGGCGAAGGCGGCUCUCUGGGACGGUACUGACGCUGAGACGCGAAAGCGUGGGGAGCGAACAGG